rnacentral:rRNA from 1 species
CAAGUUAUACCGCAUAAUAUCUGCGGAUAAAGGUGGCCUUUGUGCUGCCGCAGAUGGAUGAGCCUGCGUUGGAUUAGCUAGUUGGUGGGGUAAGGGCCUACCAAGGCUACGAUCCAUAGCUGAUUUGAGAGGAUGAUCAGCCACAUUGGGACUGAGACACGGCCCAAACUCCUACGGGAGGCAGCAGUGGGGAAUAUUGGACAAUGGGGGAAACCCUGAUCCAGCAAUGCCAUGUGUGUGAAGAAGGCUCUAGGGUUGUAAAGCACUUUAGUUGGGGAGGAAAGCCUAUAAGUUAAUAGCUUGUAGGAAGGACGUUACCCAAAGAAUAAGGACCGGCUAACUCCGUGCCAGCAGCCGCGGUAAUACGGGGGGUCCAAGCGUUAAUCGGAAUUACUGGGCGUAAAGGGUCUGUAGGUGGUUUGUUAAGUCAGAUGUGAAAGCCCAGGGCUCAACCUUGGAACUGCAUUUGAUACUGGCAAACUAGAGUAUGGUAGAGGAAUGGGGAAUUUCUGGUGUAGCGGUGAAAUGCGUAGAGAUCAGAAGGAACACCAAUGGCGAAGGCAACAUUCUGGACCAAUACUGACACUGAGGGACGAAAGCGUGGGGAUCAAACAGGAUUAGAUACCCUGGUAGUCCACGCUGUAAACGAUGAGUACUAGCUGUUGGAUUCGGUGUAAAGGAUCUAGUGGCGCAGCUAACGCGUUAAGUACUCCGCCUGGGGACUACGGCCGCAAGGCUAAAACUCAAAGGAAUUGACGGGGACCCGCACAAGCGGUGGAGCAUGUGGUUUAAUUCGAUGCAACGCGAAGAACCUUACCUGGUCUUGACAUCCUGCGAACUUUCUAGAGAUAGAUUGGUGCCUUCGGGAACGCAGUGACAGGUGCUGCACGGCUGUCGUCAGCUCGUGUUGUGAAAUGUUGGGUUAAGUCCCGCAACGAGCGCAACCCCUAUUGAUAGUUACCAUCAUUAAGUUGGGUACUCUAUUGAGACUGCCGCUGACAAGGCGGAGGAAGGUGGGGACGACGUCAAGUCAUCAUGGCCCUUACGACCAGGGCUACACACGUGCUACAAUGGGUAUUACAGAGGGCUGCGAAGUGCGAG